ensembl:snoRNA SNORA61 small nucleolar RNA, H/ACA box 61
ACCCUCUGGUUCCCUUUCCCAUCCGAUCUGAACACUGGUCUGGGUGGUCGUAAAAGGAGGAAAAGGAACUCUGAAGCUGACCCCACAGUGCUUUGUAGCAUGUUGGUUAGCUUCAAACAAGG